AGGUGUUGUGACGCUCCUCUCCCCUCCACUUCGAGAUAAGGAGGAAGAGGAGGAGGAGGAGGAGGAGGAAGACGAAAAGGAGAAGGAAAAGAAGGAUGUUGCGUUAAAAAGACGAGGAAUGUUCUGUAUCUUUUUUUUUCGGUGUUAAAUAUUUUCCAGUGCUUUUUUUUUUUUUUUGCGUGUGUCAUUCAGGUGAAAAAAAAAAACGAGAAGAAAAAGUUGUACAGUGCCGUAGUGGUGAUUUUGGUGGUGGUGCCAGAAGAGUAUAGUGCCCCGGUGUGUGUGUGUGUGUGUGUGUGUGUGUGUGUGUGUGUGUGUGUGUGUGUGUGUGUGUGUGUGUGUGUGUGUGUGUGUGUGUGUGUGUUAUUUUUUGCUCUCCUUGUCGUCCCCGGAUUCUUCUCGGAAAAUAAUUUGCCUUAACCUUAUACACACCACGCAUAAUAGUAGUAGUAAUAGUAGUAGCAGUAGUAGUAGUAGUAAUAGUAGUAGCAGUAGUAUCACCAUCAUCAUCAGCAUAACAUUCCCACACGUCCCAAAAUCAAGGUCAUCGUCUGUGGUAAAUGGCAUGACAAGCGGAGUGCAGUGACAAGUGUGCGUCGGGGUGGCAGUUAUGGGUGUGUGACAGGUGUGCGGGAGGGAGAGGGUGGACAGGUGUGUGGGUGGGUGUGGCCGCCUAGAGAAGAAGAAAUAGACAGGUGUACAGGGUGGCAUGUGGGUGUGUCUUGGUGGCGUGCAAGGUUAAUGUGUAUGUGUGUGUGUGUGUGUGUGUGUGUGUGUGUGUGUGUGUGUGUGGAGUGUGUAGCAGUGGAAUGUGGUGUAUUCUGUUAUGUAAUGUGGAGGGAAAUGCGGGGAAGGUGGACUGGUGGAAUGUAGAGUGUUUAGCGAUGAUGAAUGUGAGCUAAUGGUAUGUUUUAGUGAUUUAAUUAUAGUUCAAAACGUGGAAGGUGAUGUUUGUUGUUAUGUAAUGUGGAUGGAAAGGAACUAGUGGAAGGGUUGACAGGUGGAAUGCAUAAUGUGAUCCAACGAUAAAUGUGGAGUUAGGAGUUUAUUCUCGUGAUUUAGUUUGAGAGGAAGAAGGAAGAGAGAGGAAUGAAAAGGAAAUAAAAAAGAAUGACCCUAUGGAAAAACUGUCACUACUACCGCUAGCUAAAUUUGGGCCGUAUUCUUAAACAUUUCGUCGGCCAAACACAGACAUUUGACAAGGCUUUCAUAGGUGUUUGGGGGAUUUCCAGGGAUAGUUUAAUGACCCUGGUGGUAGUUUAACUUUCUUUUCAUUUCGUCGGCCAAGCACACAAAUUUGACAAGGCUUUCGUAGGUGUUUUGGGCAUUUCCAGGGGUAGUUUAAUGACCCUGGUUGUAGUUUAACAUUCUUUUCAUUUCGUCGGCCAAGCACAGACAUUUGACAAGGCUUUCAUAGGUGUUUGGGGGAUUUCCAGGGAUAGUUUAAUGACCCUGGUGGUAGUUUAACUUUCUUUUCAUUUCGUCGGCCAAGCACACAAAUUUGACAAGGCUUUCGUAGGUGUUUUGGGGCAUUUCCAGGGUUAGUUUAAUGACCCUGGUGGUAGUUUGACGCUUUCUAUUCAUUUCGUCGGCCAAGCACAGACAUUUGACAAGGCUUUCAUAGGUGUUUGGGGGAUUUCCAGGGAUAGUUUAAUGACCCUGGUGGUAGUUUAACUUUCUUUUCAUUUCGUCGGCCAAACACAGACAUUUGACAAGGCUUUCAUAGGUGUUUGGGGCAUUUCCAGGGGUAGUUUAAUGACCCUGGUGGUGGUUUAACUCUUUCUCUGUACCAUGAACGUAAACAAAACACUCAUGAAAACUCGAUUAAUCUCCUUUUGGCCUUUCUAAAUAAUUCAUGUGAGAUGUGAGAGCGUCUAAAAAUACUGACCUUUGUGAUUUAGUUAUGAGAUGUGGAACGCUGUGGAGGAGGGCUGUGAUGUGGAGAGGGUGGAGUGAUCUUAUAGUAUCUGUUGUGUAAUGUGGAGCGGACUGAUGACUGGACAGGAUGUGGAGUCGGUAGGUAGUUCGUGUGGAGUGAGUGAAGUAGAUAAAGUGCCGCGUGUGUGUGUGUGUGUGUGUGUGUGUGUGUGUGUGUGUGUGUGUGUGUGUGUGUGUGUGUGUGUGAGAGAGAGAGAGAGAU